rnacentral:lncRNA from 1 species
AAAAUAAGAAGGGCUAGAGAUAUAGCUCAUUGAUAGAGCACCCCUGGGUUCUAUCCCUAGUACUACUAAAAAAAAUAAAAAUAAACAAAAAAGAAAAAUGAAAAAGAGUUUAGGAAUUUUCAAUUUAAGUGAUAAUACUUAAGUUGUUGAAAAUCUUUUUUUUUUGUACUUGUAUAUUUGAGUAAAUCAAAUAGAAAGGUUUUAGUUUCUAAAAGGGAUUGAAAUGAAUGAGAUUGAAUAUAAACUUGGAGUACUUAAAAUAACAUAUUAGAAAGAAGAAAAUCAUGGUAGAUCCUUGUAAAAGGCAGGUGGAAUUCAUAAUAAUAACUGGAUGAAAAAACUUACUAAAGCUGAGAUAAGAUGUGCUACAAUAUUCUGCAGAAUAGCACCUACAUGGUUCAAGUGAGCAAGCAGAUGGCUUUGAAUGCCCAACAGCACCACAAAUUAAUUAAGACCAUAUCUAUAUGACUAGUACAUUUGCUCUUUUUCUUUUUAAAUUUUUUUUUAGUCGUAGAUGGACACAAUGCCUUUAUUUUAUUUUUAUGUGGUGCUGAGGAUCGAACCCAGUGCUUUCCACAUGUGAGGCAAGCAGUCUACCACUGAGUUACAAUUCCAACCCACACUUUUUCUUUUUGACCUCUGUGCUGGUUGCAUUCUGAGUUCAUAACCAGAAUGUCUAAUUAUCAGAAUCAUGUUAAUGAACUGAUUGCAUUUACUAGUGUCAGUGAGAGCAUUCCAAUCAUUUCUCAAUAUUCAGACUGAAAAUGCACAUAAAUUGAAUCAUAGGCUUUGAGCAGCAAUAAAUGAAACUUCCGCAAGUACAUAUAUUUAAGUCUCAAGAACUAUUUUAUGGGGCCAGGGCUUGGACUGUAGCUUAGUGGCAGAGCACUUGCUUAGCAAGUGUGAGGCACUGGGUUCGAACUUUAGCACCACAUAAUAAAUAAAUCAGUAAAUAAAUAAAUAAAGGCAUUCUGUCCAUUAAAAAAGUAUUUUAUAUAUAGUGUGUAUAUUCUUGCUAAUUAACUAAACAUUAAAAUGUAACAUAAAAUAUGAAAUAUGUUCAGGCUUAUAAAUAUAAAUUCAUCCAUUCAUGCAUCCUUUACCUUUUUUUUUGAUACUACUGUUAUCUUCCCAUGAUAGAUCUAGGAAUACCAGCAUGCAGAUACAUACCCCAAUGCAAAAUGGUAUUUUUUCUGAGCAAGCAGGGGGUAAAGCUUUGACCAGGGGAAAGUUUACAUAUUCUGUUAUAUAGGAGUGCCAAA